CCUACGGGAGGCAGCAGUGGGGAAUAUUGCACAAUGGGGGGAACCCUGAUGCAGCGACGCCGCGUGGGUGAGGAAGUACUUCGGUAUGUAAAGCCCUAUCAGCAGGGAAGAAAAUGACGGUACCUGACUAAGAAGCCCCGGCUAACUACGUGCCAGCAGCCGCGGUAAUACGUAGGGGGCAAGCGUUAUCCGGAUUUACUGGGUGUAAAGGGAGCGUAGACGGCGUGCCAAGUCUGGUGUGAAAGGCCGGGGCUCAACCCCGGGACUGCAUUGGAAACUGGCAUGCUGGAGUGCCGGAGGGGCAAGCGGAAUUCCUAGUGUAGCGGUGAAAUGCGUAGAUAUUAGGAGGAACACCAAUAGCGUAGGCAGGUUGCUGGGACGGUUCUGACACUAAGGCACGAAAGCGUAGGGAGCAAACGGGAUUAGAUACCCCAGUAGUC
rnacentral:rRNA from 1 species